CCUACGGGAGGCAGCAGUGAGGAAUAUUGGUCAAUGGACGAGAGUCUGAACCAGCCAAGUAGCGUGAAGGAUGACUGCCCUAUGGGUUGUAAACUUCUUUUAUAUGGGAAUAAAACGUUCCACGUGUGGGAUUUUGUAUGUACCAUAUGAAUAAGGAUCGGCUAACUCCGUGCCAGCAGCCGCGGUAAUACGGAGGAUCCGAGCGUUAACCGGAUUUAUUGGGUUUAAAGGGAGCGUAGGUGGAUUGUUAAGUCAGUUGUGAAAGUUUGGGGCUCAACCGUAAAAUUGCAGUUGAAACUGGCAGUCUUGAGUACAGUAGAGGUGGGCGGAAUUCGUGGUGUAGCGGUGAAAUGCUUAGAUAUCACGAAGAACUCCGAUUGCGAAGGCAGUUCACUGGACUGCAACUGACACUGAGGCUCGAAAGUGUGGGUAUCAAACAGGAUUAGAUACCCUGGUAGUC
rnacentral:rRNA from 1 species